CUUCAGAGCUGUUUAUACAAAGGCAGUCCCAUGUGGGCUCCUGCGGGUGUGGAGCCGCGGGCUCAGAAGGGCGAUGAGCCCCCAGGUCUGUGCACCGGUGCUGCGCAGCACCCUUCAGCGGGCACUCUGCUCACUGACAUCCAGCGUUGGUGCUGUUUGUUCUUUCUCUUACUGCUUUCCACGGCUGCCUCGGAUCUUUGUACCUGGGACAAAUGGGAUAUUUUUGAAACAAUCAGAAAUUCUUCAUGUUCUGUCUCCUGCUUUCUGUGCCGCUUUGGAGAUCGUGCUGCCACCAGGACCUCGAGAAGUUCACUUGGUAUUCACCACUGUUUUAUUCCCUUUCUCUUGCACUGCGGUUCUGACUGAUGUAGCCAAGACUAAGCUUCACCAUCUGAAUAAUGUAUUAAUUCCUCUGCAAGGAGUGGAAGUCUAGAGACUAAUUUCUGUAUAGAGACACAGGACAACUUGUACCCCAAGGUGCAAGAUGAGCGUAAGGCAAUCUACAGUCAGAGAGAGCAUGGAGACAUUUUAUGGCUCCUUCGCUGCAAGGUGCUAAAAAUCCACCCGAAGACGCACCCGCCGCGUGGCUGGCAUUUGCAUGCAAUUCCAUAUUCAUGUGCUCUCUCUUCUUUUCCAAGUGCUGCGUUCAAUCCCCAUUAAAAGGGAGCUAGGUGAGUCUUAGCACACUUGAUUCCUUCAUGUGAGAAUAUUAUCCUUGUCCCCAGCACUCCCACUCCAUGCGCACCUGAAGCUCCCCCAGGAGAGACGGGCAUUCAUGGCACCAAGUGUUUCUAGCCCUGCCCAUGCCACGGUGGCCAUUUGGCCUGAAGCUUGAAAUCAUUUUGCUCUUAAAGCUUGGUUUUGGCUUUUUUUUUUUUCUUAAAGAAUUUGAAGGGAACAGGACUUACAAUUUUUGCUGGUUUUGAUGGUGAUUACUUUGAUUUUUUUUAGCAAGAUUUUUUAAACUUGGUGGCUCCUGCUCAUGUUUAGGAGUACAAUGCAGAGCCUAAGACCAUAACAGCAAAUGCUGUUCCAAAGUAGUUUAAAAAUUCUCUUGGGAAAAGUAUCUCCCAUCCCAGAUGGCCCCUGUAUUUAUUGUCAUUACAGCAUCGUUCCCUACAGAAGGAUGUGAUUCCUCUUGAGAAAUAAAACCCCAGAACCUGACA
rnacentral:lncRNA from 1 species